rnacentral:rRNA from 1 species
GACGAACGCUGGCGGCGUGCUUAACACAUGCAAGUCGAACGGGCAUGCCCUGCUUUGGUUGGGUGCUCGGGUGACGAACGGGUGAGUACCUCGUGAGUCACCUCCCCUUUACUUUGGGAUAACUUCAGGGAACUGGUGCUAAUACCGGUUAUGAGCUCGUGCUGCGUGGUGGGGGUUGGAGGUUUUCGGCGGUUGGGGGUGGACUCGCGGGGUUUCAGCUUGUUGGUGGGGUCGUGGCUUACCAAGGCUUUGACGGGUAGCCGGCCUGAGAGGGUGAACGGCGACAUUGGGACUGAGAUAGGGCCAAGACGCCGUCGGGAGGCAGCAGUGGGGAAUAGUGGACUAUGGGCGGAAGCCUGAGGCAGCAACGCCGGGUGUGGGAUGGCGGCCUUCUGGUGGUAGUCCGGUUUCGCCUGUGAUGAAGCGUGAGUGAUGUAGAUGGGUAAAGAAGCACCGGCUAACUACGUG